UAUUAAAGGACCAAAGAACAGAGUCAG
rnacentral:piRNA from 1 species